CGUGGGCCAAUAAGGCAACGCGAGCCCUCACUGGCUGGCUGUUGGCGGUUGCAAUUUGAACGCGGUCGGAGGAAGGAGUAAGAGGCGUGUUGAGGCCACAAACUCGCUGGGUGGUGCUCGUUAAAGUCCAGGAAUCGAACACAAGAUUCGAUGUCUAUGUGUUGUGACGAAGUAUAAAUCAUAGGCUGCUAUGUCUCUGGAAGGGAAUGAGUGGGAGCUCAGCAAGGAGAAUGUGCAGCCUCUGAGACAAGGGCGAGUGAUGGCUACCUUGCAGGAAGCUCUGGCUCAACAAGAUGCUUCCAUCCACACCACCAUCCAGCAGCAAAAACGGGAAUUUGAAUCUGAAAUUCGAUUUUAUUGUGGAGAUGAUCCCUUGGAUGUUUGGGACAGAUAUAUCAAAUGGACCGAGCAAACCUUUCCCCAAGGUGGCAAAGACAGCAAUCUCUCAGCUGUGUUGGAGAGAGCUGUUAAAGCACUGAAUGAGCAGCAGAGAUAUUAUGAAGAUCCCCGCUAUCUCGACCUCUGGCUAAAAUUUGGGAACUGCUGCAGUGAACCUCUGGAUUUAUACAGCUAUCUCAGCAGCCAGGGGAUAGGCACAUCACUAGCACAGCUCUAUAUCACUUGGGCAGAGGAACUUGAGGCAAGAGGAAAUUACAAGAAAGCUGACUUGAUUUUCCAGGAAGGGAUUCGCUGCAAAGCCGAGCCUUCGGAUAAACUACUAUGCCAUCACAGGCAAUUUCAGGCUCGUGUGUCGCGGCAGACUUUGGAAGGUUUAGAGGAAGACUGUGAUGCAGAAGAGCUAGUGGGUGCUCUUUCAGCUGAACCCCAAAGAACCACAUUGGCAGAACUGAAAGGAAGAGGAAAGAAAACAGCGAAAGCUCCCAUCAGCCGUGUAGGAAAUACUAUAAAGUUGCCAGGCCAAGGACAGAGACUCCAGACUCCAUCUCAACAAACAUCAAAUCGCCCAACUUUUGCAGUAUUUGAUGAAAAUAGAGUUGUAACUUCUGGGCCUGAGCUUCCAGCACUUGUGCCACAGCCGUGGGUUGCACCUCCACCAGUAAAGGCCAAAGAGAAUGAAUUGCAACCAGGAGCUUGGAACAUUGGCAGGCGUCCUCGGAGCAACAUGGAUUCUUCUACCGCAACUGUUGCUAUGGUGCCCAGCUUUACCCCAUAUGUUGACGAAUCCCCUCAACAACAAGCCAUGACCCCUUGUAAAAUAGAGCCUAGCAUGAACUGUGUCUUAAGUGUUAGAAAGCCAAAGAAAGAAGAUGAUCCGCUACAUCGUGUGCAAAACCACCAGCAAGAUGGUCAGGAAAAGAAAGAACAGCCAAUGUAUUGUAAAGAGAAGGUGUAUGCUGGAGUGGAAGAAUUCUCCUUAGAGGAGAUCAGAGCCGAAAUCUACAGAAAGAAAGCAAAGAAGAGAAGAGAAGAAGAACUGCAGGCCAUAGCACGGAAAAAAACUGAAUUACAAAGGGAGAUUGAGGAAAUUGAGAAGGUGGUGAGAGAGCAGCGAGAAAAACACAAGGAAAAAUCAGAUGCACAGUGUUCACAACAUGCAGAGGAGCAGGAACCUGAAGCUGUUUCUUCUAUCUUGGCAGAGAACCUGAAGCCUCCUAUAGGAGAAGAUCAAUGUGCUCUGAUGGAGUCCAAUGUAUUUGUUGGAGUAGUCCCUUCAGAAUGUUUUUUCUUGAAAAGCAAUCUGGAACAGGAUGAAAAUGUUCAAUGCAAGAAGUCAAGCUCCUCAAGUGAUUGUGAUAUCCCUCCUGUAGUGAAUGCUUUGAUACCUUUCUCUAUUUUUGAUGAGUCUGUUUUAGAAAAUGAGGGAGCCAGUCUUUCUGCUGGUCCUUUGGUUCGUGCCAGAUGUUCUCUUACUCUUCGUAAACCUUCAGAAAGUAGUGUUGCAAAGGAAAAUAUACCUCCUGAAAAUUCUCAUGAGCCUCCUGAAGCUGAACGCUUGGUUGAAGAUGCAAUACUCACAGGUUCAUACAAGAAUAAAACCCUCUGCCCAAAUCCUGACGAUACCUGUGAUUUUAUUAGGGCUGCUCACUUGGCAUCAACCCCUUUCCAUGGGAUCAUAGAACAGAGAAGUCAGCUUGGUGACAAAACAAAGGGUGAAUGUCAGGAAUCCAAGACUACAUUGCUUAUGCAGAAAAUGGUUGAGAAUGACAACCCUUAUGCUGAAGCCCUCUUUGUGAAAAAACUGAGUCCAAUUAUGGAGGCAAGUCAAGAAGAUACAAGAUCUUCAUCUUCAACUUCCUCAUCACAAAUUUCCAUUAAAUUUCAAAAAAUCCCAGAGACACUGGAGUUGACUCAUAUUUCCAGUGAUGACAUUGCCAGUGAUGCUGAAAAUGGUUCUAAUUACUCUCCAGUUUGUUCUGAACAGCGCAAAUUGCUGUUGCAACCUCUCUUGGAGACAUUGACAAAAUGCCCUGACUUUAUAUUAGAGGCACAGCCAAUGCCUUGGAUAGAAUUGGAAAAAGAAGUUCAUUUAGGGAAUGACAUUUACUGUAUCACUCGGGAAUAUUUGAACAGUGAGAAUGACAAGAUGUUUUCUGCCUUGCAAACCAAUUUUGCCCAUCAGGUCUCAGCAGCAUUUUUAAUCAAGGUGCACUUUGAGCCGGUGCCAUGGGACUUCUACAUCUUGCUGCAAUUACGUGAACGCUUAGGUGCUGGAUUUGAUCAGAACUUUAGUGUCAACUGCACUUGUUACUUAUACCACAAUGGAUGUGUGACUCUACAAAGAGAGAGAAACUGCACUACGGUCCAGGAUAUGAUCCAGCGCUGUGAAGUUAUUCCACAUGAAGUAGUCAUGCUGAUUGCUGACAAUCUCUUAGAGGUGGUUGAGAAAUUGCAUACAGUGGAAAUUAUUCAUGGAAAUCUGCAUCCAGAAUCUUUGUUCUUAGGAGACAGAAUCUGCAAUCCGUUUGUCAUGGAAAAGGCUACCAGUGCUCUGAAAUUAGUGGAUUUUUCACACAGCCUAGACUUGAAGCUGCAACCAGGAAUCAGCUCAUUAACACAUUUUCCAAUAGCUCAGGCCCAGUAUGGGAAACGGAUGCUUGAUGAAAAAUCUCUUCCUUACCAGAUUGACAUACUUGGUAUUGCAAACACAGUCCAUAUGAUCUUGUUUGGGGAAAGUUUGCAAGUGCACCAGGAAGAAGGCUACUGGAAAACUGACAGAGACUUAUCCCAGUUUGUUGACAGCGAUUUGUGGAGUAAAUUCUUUGGGAAAAUUCUGAAUGGAAAUAAUGAGUUUACCGUGCCUCUUCUGAAAGAGCUGAGGGAGGAAUUGAGUGGUGAAUUUGACAGUUCUUUCUCAGAACGCCUCUGUGAUUCCUUGACAAAUCUGGAAGGCAUUCUUCAUGUUGAAAACACCUUCUGAAUUGCAGAAAAUACAUUUAUAUUAUAUCCUGGAUUUUCUAAUUGCCCAACCACCAUCAUCCUUUGGAUGGAGACAACCUCAUAAACUGCCUAAUGGGCAAAAUGAAGAGUUUUUGCAAAUCUUUGGGCAUACUUAACUCCAUGACCUAUACCACCUGCACUUUAUCCUUCAGCCAGCCUACUCGUGAAAAAUGUAUUGAAGUGAUCUCCAGCAUACCUGGGUGUUUGCCAGUGCAGUAUAAGAAAAACAGAGCAAGCUUAAUAAGCAAAUUGUGAAAUCACAACAAAGAAAAUAUUACAGACUGUUCUAUUACAAGGAAGCAUGCAAUUGCUGACAGAAACUUUAAUGUGGCAAUACUUCAUUACAACUCUUUACUUUUUUCAGGAGUGGUGUCUGGGGAGCCAGCAGGGUAUAGUGGUAUGAGAGCUGGACUAUGAUUUUGGAGACUAGUGUUCAAAUCUUUACUUUGCCAUAAAAUCCACUGGAUUACCGUGGGCAUAGUUUCUCAGCCUUAAGAAGGCAAUGGCAACCCUCUUCUGAUCAAAUAUCUGCAAUAAAACCCUGUGAUAGGUUCAUUUUAGGGUCACCGUGGGUUGGAAAUGACUUGAAGGCACAUUGCAACAAGAUGUAUCAGAGUUUUCUGCUUUUUCAGUUCAACCUCCCUCCUUAACCUCUACACUCAGUAGAAUACCUAUAGCACCUCCUGAGGUACAGUCAUUAUGCAAAUGUGACAUGUCAUGUUUAUUUGCCAUGUUAAGCAAAAUGAAAAGAUAGGGUGCGAUGAAAUAUAAUAAGGUAAAUCAAA